rnacentral:rRNA from 1 species
AUUGAACGCUGGCGGCAGGCCUAACACAUGCAAGUCGAACGAGUGGCGGACGGGUGAGUAAUGUCUGGGAAACUGCCUGAUGGAGGGGGAUAACUACUGGAAACGGUAGCUAAUACCGCAUACCAUCGGAUGUGCCCAAAUGGGAUUAGCUCGUCGGUGGUGUAACGGCUCACCUAGGCGACGAUCCCUACCUGGUCUGAGAGGAUGACCAGCCCCACUGGAACUGCGACGCGGUCCAGACUCCUAAGGGGGGCAGCAUAGAGGAAUAUUGCACAAUGGGCGCAAGACUGAUGCAGCCAUGCCGCGUGUAUGAAGAAUGCCUUCGGGUUGUAAAGUACUUUCAGCGGGGAGGCAUUGCCCGAAGAAGAGGCACCGGCUAACUCCGUGCCAGCAGCCGCGGUAAUAC